UUGGACUGAAGGGAGCUCCUUC
rnacentral:miRNA from 2 species